ACUUUUCCUAUUUUAAUCAUAAUAAUCAGAACCUGGCACAAUUUCUAAAAACAAACAUAAUGAAAAUAAAUUACUAAAAAACAUGUUUGAUUGCAAACUUGAAAAAUCCCUAAAGCUAUUUUAUGGAUUUAUUAAUAAUUUGGAGUGAAUCUAUUUUUUAGAAGUAUGUAAUCUGAAAUUUAAAUUAACACUGAAGUUUGUUUUAACAACCUUGAUUCUCCUUUUCUCUCAGACUCACAAUCUUUUUAAGAUAUAUAAGGAGAGAUGUAGACUGUACUAAUUACACAUCUAUUACAGAAAGAGCAGAAGAGCACAUAUGUAUUUUGUGAGUACUUCAAACAUCUUGGCAUUUCAUUCCUUGGUUUGCCUUUUGUUUCCUGCCUGUAUCUUCUCUUUUGGUUUUGAGAAGAGUAACAAAAAUAGAAUUAUUCCUUUAAAAAUCUACCUAUUUUUAAUGUUUAAUGAACAUUUACCAACUCUAGUUCUGUCUUUCAGCCGUCUGAUAUGUCAAGACCAUUGCGCAUACCGCAGCUGGCAGACAUUAUUUUCUCCAAUACACCACUGGGUUGGGUUACCAGCAAAAAGAAGUCUCUAUGAUACCGGUGAAAGAUUUCGAACGCCUCAGAAGACCAUUCCUUAAGGUCACAAAAAAAAAUAAGAACAGUCAUUGGACAGUGAUGGCAAAAGGCACCAGAGACUCACAGUGAAAUGAAAACGUGUGAAGAUGAACAGGAAGCGAGUGCUAAGGAAAGGCUUUCAGCAGCUGCUUAAUGCACUAUCCUGGGAAGCAGCAUCGGCAUUACCGUAAGAGACCCAAAAGAGACGAGCAGCGAGGCAGGGGACGGCUUUACCUCAAGGAGUGCACCUGCUUACUAUGGCUCCAUGCACACAUACACCUCACUUAAAUCAAGUGCUGUGAUAAUAAAGAACAUGAAAAUAUGAUGUAUGAACAUCUUCCUAAGUCGACGAGGAUAUAUAUAUCAUUUAACCUGAUACUUUGUUUUAUUCAGCUCAUCUACCAUUUAGGAUUUGCUUGGUGUUUCUGAUAACACAGGAAUUAAAUACAGAACAGGUUCCAGUUGCUCUGCUGACACACUCACAACAUCAUGAGAUAUCAUCACCAGUGCUCUCGGUCAAGGGGUCGGGGGGAUGAACAGCUCAGAUUGCCGCUGUCAGCUGCAGCAGGAAGGCAAAGCCAAGCUCCAGCUCCUGCAUCCCUGCUCAUUUCUGCUCCUCCUGGAACUUUAUCAUCCCACUCACAGCUAUUGGUAUGUAAAUCGUGGCAUCAUGUCUGACAUCUGCAACCGAAAUGUCAGCCAGAGCGAAGUGCUGUUGCUCCUCUGGGCGUGGUGCAGACACAUGGAUUGACUUUUGUAUAGGAUCUUGGGUGAGUUUGCGAGAGGCACCGCCACCCUCAGCUAUUCUGAUCACCUGUGCAGAACCUCCCAUGGCAGAGCAUGGGGCUUUGAUCCGCUCUUAGGAAGGUACCAAAUUAUUAAAAAUGUGAGUAAUGUAAAUGUAUAUGAUAUAUUAUGUGGGAUACUUGAAAUCAUCAAAAUGAUGAAACAACGCCUGUUUCAUUGAAGAAUGAAGGAGCUUUGUGCAAAGCAGCUGUUUAAUUAUCUAGCACUGAGUCGUGUAAUGAUUUACACACCAUACUCAUAAAUCCCAAAUCAGCUCAGGGAGAGCAGUUGUUUUUAUGAACUAAGAAAGAGAACUAGCACAGACACGCCUGGAGAUAACAGUUUUAACAUUAACAUAUAAAUAAAUCUAAAUAACACUUGCAUUUCUUUCCUACCUUCCCAGUAGAAGACUCAUCCUGAAAACUCCAACACAUAGCAUUUUUACUUAAGCUAGUCAAACCAAAGCAACACCAUCUUUGGGAUUCACACUUGCAGUGAAUGUAUUUAUCACAAGUUAAUGAUGGCUACAGCAUUAAACUACCCUUUCCAAAGUUCAUAACAAUAAUUGCACUAGCUUUGGGUACAACCUUCUGAACUGAUGAUGAAGAGGCUUGAUGAAGCCUGACCCCAGAACACCCUCUUAGGUUUUUAAAUAGUCUUUGGUACAAUUAAGAAAGUAUCAUUGAUUAAUGAUCCAAGGAAUUUCUGAGAAGAAUUAGGUAUUAAGAAUCACAAUAUUUUUAUCAUUUUUCAGACUAUUUUCUUACAUUUUAGUGUCAGUAAAUGGGAAAAAGUAGGUCUAUAUGGCAAUCUUUAUGUGGCUGGUGGAAAUGCAAGAUGGGCAAUUUUCAUGUUCUAAAAUAUUGCAUAUAAUCAGUUAGGAAAGGCCAGAAAUGUACCUGAUGAAAUAGUUUCGCUGAAAAUCAUGGUCAGUGAGUCCAAAGUACUUCAUGUGGAAGAUUUCUAGAGAGACAUAGAAUUGUGGGAUGCAGAACAGGCAAAAGGGAGUUCAUCUCUACAGCAGAUCAGCAGAAAGGACCAUCCUGGCAAUGCAGCAACAGAGCUCAGGUUUGGUCCCGGAGCAAGUUCCUUGGCAUCAUUUAAUUUAUUAGCAGGAAAACAGCCUGUGGGUCCAAGAACUGUAUCACACAGGACUCUGAUUUCCCAGGUUAUUCAUAAACACUUAGAAGGUGCCAUUCACCCUGGAUUUGACCCAAGGUAGGUGAGAAUCUGUCUGGGGGAUAAAUCAUGCAGUAAUCUGAAAUGCAACUGCUUUUGGCUUCUGUGAAGUCCUAUGAGCUCACUGAAAUGAAGCCGUAACCAGGAGGCUGUAAAGUAACGACCCAUCAGAAAACCUGAUGCCUUCCCAUUUCUCUCCUCGCAGACUUCUCAGCCCGCCUGAAUUGAGACGUGCCGGAGGCAGAACCAGCUUUACAAAGCUAAUGCAGGCUGUGCAGUCAAGUCUCUCAGCACUAUGUUUACCAUAUUACCUUUAAAAAUACCUGCCUACUUUUGACUAGCCAUGCAGAAUUUUGCAGUUUCUGUAAAUCCAUGCAUUAUUAUUCCCUAUCGGAUGCCAUCUCUAUUGCCCAUGCAUAUUCCCUUAAACCUUACAGUCCCUUGGACUUUACGGUCUUCUCAUUUCAGCCCCUCUAUACUCUUUUUCCUGCUCUGUCCCACUCUGCAAUUAUUCUUACUCAUUGUCAUUUGUAUGCCUCUUAUCUAAAGCCACGUGAAAAUUGUAUGGAACUAAUAUACUUGCCUGAAAAUAUUUGCUAUAAAUAUGACAAGAGGAUUGUAUUCCCUUUUCUGUCUGUUCCCUUGAGGAAAAGUGCUCAUUAAUUUGAUUUCCAGCUUUCAUUUUUUUUAAAGGAAACAAAUGACAAUUAUUGUUUACUUUGAAGUGUGAUCUUUAGCAUGAAUAAUUCUCAAAAAGAAACAUCUGCUUCGCAGAUGAGUUGUGACAGCAGACAAUAUGCUUCCAUAUUUUGCAUUCAUACUUGAGUGGCAAGAGCUGGGACUGGGACUGACUGUCCAGCGUCGCAGCACAGUCCCAAGAGGCCAAGAUCACUUCUCAAGAGGGUUUCUUGGGGGUAUUUUGUAGCAUUUUCUCCUCUUUUGAAGUGUGGUCAGCCCUGACACGGUGUCUUUGUGCCUGCAGGAAAGCACGUGCACAUGCCAGCUACCAAACAUCUCUUGGCCUUUUGGAAGGUGCCUAACCCCAAAAUGGCCUGCUUGUAUGUCCAGAGACCAAUGUUUUCAUGCAUUUUAUCUUUAACUACACUGCGCACUUCCCAUUCAGCAUGUGAAACAGGUUUCUGCCUGUGCCCAGCAAAGCUUGGCUGGCAGCUCAUCGAUCCAGGAUGGAUUUUAGCAACAGCUGGACCUUGGCCAAAACCUAUCAUCUAAAUGCAAGUCUAGAGUUCUCCAGAUUUUCAGGCCUUUUAGCAUUCUUGGCUGACACUUUCUGAACUGGCUGGCAGGUUGAGAUUCUGUUUUCAUAUCCUUAUUGGUACACAAAAUGUACUGCAAAAUAUCUUUCCUCCCUUUUGCUUUACUAUAAAUCCCCUGCUGACCCUUGGAAGCCAUUGCUGUCUCAUGACUGAAUAGAUAAGGAAGAUUUGCCAUCAUCUAACGCAAGAGUGAGAUUUGAUCUCUAGCACCUUCAUCAGCCCACCAGCCUUUACAUCCCACCCUGUCCCCUGAAAGGGCCUGGCAGUGGAUUACAGUACAAAUUUCAGUUUAGAAAAGAGACAGAGAGAACAGGUGACAUCUAUCAUACAUCUUUCCAUUAAUAUGUGAGGGUGACAGAGCACUGGAACAGGCUGCCCAAGGAGGUUGUGGAGUCUCCUUCUCUGGAGACAUUCAAAACCCGCCUGGACGUGUUCCUGUGCGACCUCACCUGGGCGUUCCUGCUCCAGCAGGGGGAUUGGACUGGAUGAUCUUUUGAGGUCCCUUCCAAUCCCAAACAUACUGUGAUACUGUGAUACUGUGAUACUGUGA